rnacentral:pre_miRNA from 1 species
UCUUAUGGAUGAGCAAAGAAAACAGAUUCUUGAGAUGGAAACUACUCCUGGUGAAGAUACUUUGAA